UCUGUCUUUCUCUUUCCUUCGGCUUCGGGGGAUAAGUGUAAAAUUUUGAAAACCUAAACUCCGAAAAUCAGAAAUGAAAGAUUAAUUUGAUUAGGGUAUUUGCAACAACGACUCAUCACCUCCACUAUACUUUCCAUUUCUCCAUAAAAUCAUUUCUUGGUUUAUUUUAUAACAAAACGAACAUAAACCCUAACUUUGAAUUUGUGAAGAAAUUAGUAGCUGAAAAUGUCAAGCAUUCCGGAAGAGAUGUACCAUGAUAUUCUUUUGAGGUUACCAGUUAAAUUAUUGCUGAAAUGUAAGUCUGUUUGCAAGAAUUGGUAUGCCCUAAUAUCUACCUCCGAUUUUGUUAAAUUGCACCUUCAUUUUACUACCCAGAGAAACAACCCUAUUCUCAUGCUUGAAGGUUCUUCUAAUGGGAGUCUUUGCCACGAGUUACUUUACUCCGUUGAUUAUGAUUCAUUAACAUCGUCAGUUUGUGAAAUUAAAGAUGUGGGGUUGAAAUGGAUUACCCAUUCAAAUCUUCAUGUUGUUUUGUUCGAUUGAUGGGAUCUUGUAAUGGUUUGGUUUGCAUGCGGUUGGUUGAUGAUAAUGGUGAUGGUGAUCAGAACUUUUUUUAUCUUUGGAACCCAGCUACGAGAGAAUAUAAAGAAAUACCCAAAUCACCAAUUAAAAUUAAUAGGGUUAGAAUGAGUGCAUUGGGUUAUGAUCACAAUACUGAUGACUACAAGUUGGUAAUAGGUAACAUAGAACCUUCUCAAAAAAAGGGUACUCUGGUGCAAGUUUAUUCGUUAGCAUCAAAUUCAUGGAAACCUGAGCAAAUUGUACCUUAUAAGUUUCCUUAUAUGCCAAAACAUGGAGUGCUUGUUAAUGGGCACUUCCAUUGGUCAGUGGAAGCUGAAGGGAAGUGUUCCUUACUCUCGUUGAGUAUCAGUGACGAGUGUUUUAAAGAAAUGCAACUGCCGAAAGAACUUUUGGAGAAGAGUAAGAAAUGAUGUAUGAUUCUGGGAGUGCUGGAAGGGUUACUUUGCGUACUGGUCACCUCAUAUAUUGAUGAUGCUACACAGUUUGAAGUUUGGGAGAUGCUGGAUUAUGGAGUUAAAGAAUCUUGGGCUAGACGCCAUAUCAUUACUCACGAGAGCAUUAUUGUGGACAAUAUUAUGUUUUUAAGUCUUUUGUGGUCUUUUGAGAAUGGUAAAAUUUUAUUCAUGAGCUCUGGUAACCUAAUUUUGUAUGACCCAGAACAUGGAAGUGCUAGAAAACUAAGUAAGCCUAGUACUUUGACCUGCCUUACCGUAAAUUAUAUUGAAAGCUUAGUUUCUCUCAAGUCUGGUACAUAUGGUGGGGGAGAAAGGAGAAUAGAAGAAUUAAGAGAAACCUGAAGAAGAAUAAGCUUUAGAAGGAAGAAAAACCGGGGGAAUUGAAGGUUCUUAUUGUUGCUGUAUUCCUGAAGUUUUUAGUAAGUUUUUAUUUAUAAAACUAGUAAUAUGUUUUUCUUCUAAUUUUCAGACCAUUAAUGUAUAUCAUGGAUUCCUUAAAAUCAGUAAUAUGUUGUUGUCUCCAAUCUAGAGCAAGAUCAAUUUCAGAUUGUUCUUUUGCAAUUCAUAUCCAAAGAUUAUUUAUUUAUGCUUUCAUGAUUUUGUCCUUCUGCUGUAUUGUUAUGAUUCAUCUGCUUUUGUUAUGCGAUGGUGACAUUGUUUGUGUCUACAGCCAAGAUGGAACUUUAAUGGCAGAUCAUAAAGAGGUUCAAAAGAUUUUAUUUCUAGUAAGUGGAUGGCACGAACUUGCCUAGACAUUACCUUGAAAUCAGAGCUAGGUGACAUGGAACCUGAUGAAAUUGCCUGCACAAAAGCUGCUGAAUUAGCUUUGUUGGCUAUACCUUUUGCUUGAAACGAGGGAGAUCACUUUUGUCCGCUCUCAUACAAAAGACAUGGUUGUGUACAAGUGUGGUCUCUCUUGGUGUCAUUCAAUCUCAAUACCAGUGAAGCAUGGAAUGCUGAAUGCGUAUCUUCUCUCAUUAAUCAUGAAAUGCUGGCAAGAAGACGAUUUAGGUUUAUAUAUUGCAUAGAGGCACAGUUGGGCGCACAAAUUAUUACUUUGGUACUCUGGAGCUGUGAACUGUGAGCUGGAAUCGUCGGAACUUUCACAUGUUGGCAUCCGCGAGUACUGAUCAUACUAUUUUAGUAUGAUUGAAAAUGUGUUCAAUUGAUGCGUAAAGACAAAUAUGAAAAAGGGGGUCGUCCGCAGGUGAACUUUAUAAAUAUCAAUAGGAAAAAAAGAAAGAAAAAGGGAAAAAGAGACGUUAAUUUUCUUGUGUCAGGUAGUUGAAUAUUUCUGCUCGACUCUGUUGGAACUUUGUAAAUGACUAUGGGGUAAUGCCUGC